rnacentral:lncRNA from 1 species
GUCGCAGAGGCGGGACUUCCGGUCGGAAGGUGGCCGCUGUCAGAGCCGGCUCGGCCGGCUGCCAGUACCCUGGUGGAGGUGUGUUGAGUUCAUAGCGACCCUGUGAGCAAGGCUGGCAGAGUGAUCUACGCAUGUAAUAGGAGCUUCUGAGGAAGCCACGUGUAAGAAGCAACCUGCUGUGAACUAGAAUUGUGAUGCUGGGAGUGAUCUGAUUCCUGCAGGCCCCUCUCCCUUCUCAGCUCUGCUACGUGGAGAGGCCAUACGAGAAGCCAUAUAAGAAGGAGAGGCCCUGAGAGAAAAGCCUAGCUAGAGGAAUUUAAGGCCAGACCCCUGCUGACCUACUAGCUGGGUGAAUCCACAUGAGUGACCAUUGGCAAGAUCAACAGAAGAGUCACCCAGCUAAGACCGGAUUGCAGAAUUGUAAGCAAAUAAAAUGUUUAUUGUUUUAAGCCA